GAAGUAUAGCUCGUUUUGAAAUAAGAAAUAGAGAAAUUGAAGAUGAUGACAAAAGCUUUAGAGAGUCAUCAUCUACAGACCACAUCUAAGAAAAAUCAGUGUGGUGUAUGGUGGGGGUUGUUGGGUUCCUUGGAGACGCUCCGAGUAAUGGCGGCAGUUUACCUUUUUUUGUUAAUAAUCAACGAACACACCCACUUGUAAUUUUCAACAAAAUUUGAAGCUGCUACGAAAAGAAAUUUCACAAGAAAGCCAACACGAAUUUCAGGAACUUAGCACCACUUUGUUUUGAUUUGGACACUGCUUGGAUGUUGGACCUGCCUCUGAUCAAGUUAUUACAGAAUUUAGGCCCACCAGGUGUCAGUGGACUAAUAGCUUGCACUAAGGAACUAUUGGGAGGUAAAGUCGGAGCCAUCAACUUACUUGACUUUGAUCAUACUGCUGACAGAAAUCAAAAUACCCGUCUCGAAUGCUGAUUGCAAAGAGUCAAAUACCAUGCCAACAGCCGUAUGAAAGGAUGGUCCAUGAAAUAGUUUCUUCUCCUGUACUGGAGGCUAUAUCUGACCACACUGGCAUUAAAGCCAAAGUUCAAAAGCUGGUUGAGAACUUGACGAGUGAUUCGCCCGAAACUCUAAGAACUAGUACAGCUGAACUACGGUUGCUCACCAAGAUUGAUGCGAAUAAUCGGACACUGAUUGCAGACUAUGGGGCAAUUAGCCUUUUGGUCAAUUUGUUAAAUUCUACGGACACUAAGAUUCAAGAGAAUGCUGUUACAGCACUUGUGAACUUAUCAAUCGACAAUAAUUGCAAAAGUAUCAUUGUUCAAGCCAAUGCAAUUGAGCCUUUGAUUCAUGUUCUUCAAACUGGUAGCCCGGAGGCAAAAGAAAACUCAGCUGCUACGCUUGGUAGUCUUUCCGUGGUUGAUGAUAACCAGGUCAAUAUUGGGAGGUCUCGAGCAAUAGGGCCUCUGGUUGACUUGUUGAAGGAUGGUACUCCUCGGGGAAAGAGAGAUGCAGCUACCGCACUGUUUAAUUUGUCAUUACUUUCCGAAAACAAGCCAAAAAUUGUGGAGGCUGGAUCAAUCAAGCAUCUUGUGAAGUUGAUGGACCCAGCUACAGGAAUGGUCGAGAAGGCAGUAACCGUCCUGGCAAAUCUUGCAUCAACAGAUGAAGGAAGGAUCGAAAUUGUACGUGAGGGUGGUAUUCCUCUGUUGGUUGACACUAUUGAGUUAGGUUCUGCCAGGGCAAAAGAGUAUGCAGCUGCAGCAUUAUUGUGGCUUUGUGGAAUCACGAGUAGAUAUUGCAUCAUGGCAAUCCAAGAGGGAGCUAUUCCACCAUUAGUGGCACUUUCACAAUCAGGCACAGCACGGGCCAAGGAAAAGGCUCGGGCACUACUCAGCUGCUUCAGUAGAAAUAAGCUCACAUCACAUUGCUAGGGGAUCGGAAGUGACUAAUUCAUAGACAUGGUUUGGCUCUUACAGCUUUGUUCAUGGUGUAUUUGCAUUCAGAUGGUACAUAUAUUGGGAUGUUGUUAGAUAAUUAUAGUUGCAGAAAGGAUUAAAAAGGGAAAGAAAACCAAAGACUGACAGGGGUUGGAUAAUUUUCUAUUGAUUCAUGCUGAAUAACCGACUUUGUUAUGCUGGUCUUCAGAAAACUGAUCGAUGAAAUCAUUGAAAUGUUCUUGUUUCUAAUGAAAGAAAAGGAUAGGAGAGCAUUCGUGAUAUUUUUUUGGGUUCCAGAGGGCACACACUUGCACUGUUGGCAGCAGAGUCCACAAUACUUCAAACACCUGUCCUUCACCCCUGCAUUCAAGCAUCUUACCCCACAUUUUGAAUCACAAACACCUUCUAAAAGAAGAAAACAAAAAGAAGGAAAAAGGUCAAAACAAUAAACCAGUUAAUCACUUGAACAAGGAGGAAUGAAUGAAAGGUUGUAGAGGAAUCAGCAGUGGCAUAUUGGAGGAAGAAUGAGCUCAGAAUCAAUGAAAGAAGAACCAAAGUGACGGAAACAGAUUUCAUCUUCUCCUUCUGCUUUAAGGUUAGUGUUCUACUGAUAUUUCAAUAGUUUCUAUCUGAUAUUUAUUGACUUGGUUUGAGAAGGGGGGGGGGAAUGAGAGAAUUAGAAAAGGUGUUUAAAGAAUGUUUUGUUAAUUGAAAAGUGGGGUAUGAAUCAAUAGGAUGACCCAUGAGGGAAAGGCAUGGCAAAAUGCUUAUAAGAAUGGUUUACAGCCCCAACUAGAGUGUAAAGAUGUAUGGUUUAGGUAUGUUUGGAGACAUGAGCUGUCUGCACUUCUUAAUUUUUCUUUUGUUAAUAUUUCUUUGGAAGGACACCAACAA